CGCUUCUUCAAGCCCGGCUUGUGUGUUGAGCAUCUGUUCUUCUGAUGGACAUGCUUAAAAUGCAGUGGCAAUGCUGCAUCUGGUAGCCCAAGCAUUAUAAGGCCCAUCUGCUUUGUUGGCUCCAGUCGGCAUUUAGCCUCUACUAAACCUUUUAUCCG
rnacentral:misc_RNA from 1 species